UACGGAGGGUGCGAGCGUUGUCCGGAAUCACUGGGCGUAAAGGGCGCGUAGGUGGCGCGGGCAGUCAACGGUGAAAGUUCGGGGCUCAACCCUGAAUCGGCCGUCGAUACCCCGGGCUUGAGCACUGUAGAGGCUAAUGGAAUUCCGGGUGUAGCGGUGGAAUGCGUAGAGAUCCGGAAGAACACCGGUGGCGAAGGCGGUUAGCUGGGCAGUUGCUGACACUGAGGCGCGACAGCGUGGGGAGCAAACAGG
rnacentral:rRNA from 1 species